GACGAACGCUGGCGGCGUGCUUAACACAUGCAAGUCGAAUGGAAAGGCCCUGCUUUUGUGGGGUGCUCGAGUGGCGAACGGGUGAGUAACACGUGAGUAACCUGCCCUUGACUUUGGGAUAACUUCAGGAAACUGGGGCUAAUACCGGAUAGGAGCUCCUGCUGCAUGGUGGGGGGUGGGAAAGUUUCGGCGGUGGGGGAUGGACUCGCGGCUUAUCAGCUUGUUGGUGGGGUAGUGGCUUACCAAGGCUUUGACGGGUAGCCGGCCUGAGAGGGUGACCGGCCACAUUGGGACUGAGAUACGGCCCAGACUCCUACGGGAGGCAGCAGUGGGGAAUAUUGCACAAUGGGCGGAAGCCUGAUGCAGCAACGCCGCGUGCGGGAUGACGGCCUUCGGGUUGUAAACCGCUUUCGCCUGUGACGAAGCGUGAGUGACGGUAAUGGGUAAAGAAGCACCGGCUAACUACGUG
rnacentral:rRNA from 1 species